rnacentral:lncRNA from 1 species
UGGCCCUAAGUGUGUUUUCUCGCAGGAAUCGUGCAAGUUCGGCUGAAUUCAGCCAAAAAGGGCUGAAAAUAGCCAACCCGAGGCGGAUCGCCGCCUCGGGCGGCGGCGCCGUCGCCGGAGCACGGCAAAGCUGCCGUGUCGAAAGUUUUAAAAUUGGUCGAGUGGGCCCUGGGUCUGAUUUUUGGGUUUAUUUGGGAUAAUUGUAGGUACUGUAAGCGGAUUUCAGUUCCCGAAG